AUACGGAGGAUCCGAGCGUUAUCCGGAUUUAUUGGGUUUAAAGGGAGCGUAGGUGGAUUGUUAAGUCAGUUGUGAAAGUUUGCGGCUCAACCGUAAAAUUGCAGUUGAAACUGGCAGUCUUGAGUACAGUAGAGGUGGGCGGAAUUCGUGGUGUAGCGGUGAAAUGCUUAGAUAUCACGAAGAACUCCGAUUGCGAAGGCAGCUCACUGGACUGCAACUGACACUGAGGCUCGAAAGUGUGGGUAUCAAACAGGAUUAGAUACCCUGGUAGUCCACACAGUAAACGAUGAAUACUCGCUGUUUGCGAUAUACAGCAAGCGGCCAAGCGAAAGCAUUAAGUAUUCCACCUGGGGAGUACGCCGGCAACGGUGAAACUCAAAGGAAUUGACGGGG
rnacentral:rRNA from 1 species